rnacentral:lncRNA from 13 species
CUGCUGAAUAGGCCCCAGUGUGUGAUGUUCCCCUCCCAGUGUCCAUGUGUUCUCAUUGUUCAAUUCCCACUUAUAAGUGAGAUCAUGUGAUGUUUGGUUUUCUGCUCUUGUGUUAGUUUGCUGAGAAUGAUGGUUUCUAGCUUCAUCCAUGUUCCUUCAAAGGACAAGAACUCAUUCUUUUUUAUGGCUGCAUAGUAUUAUGCCACAUAUUCUUUACUGACCACCUACUCUGUGCCCAAAUUUGUACUGAGUGUUCUGAUUAACAGAAUGAUAUAAAGUACCUUGCAAACCCUGAAGAGUAACACAUAAACCAGCUGUUUUACAACUUAACUAUGAACAUAAGCCAUAAUCAAAAAAAAGGCCACUUGAAAGUGCAAGAGUGAAAAAUAAACAAGUAAUCAAGCAAAAUGGGAAUGUAGAGAACUCCACAUUGAGACAGUCAGGGUAAGGAGGUUCUAGGAAGUGGGAUCCCAGUGGGUGGCAUGUUUAGGAAAGAACUUAUAGAAGAAGUAGACCUGGAAUUAGGGCUUGAGGGGACCAUGGAAUGUGGGUACACAGAAACUGAGGACAACGUUUUAGUUCAAGUGAUAAUGGGACCAAAAGCCAAAAGGGAGGUAGAGAUGCAUGUGACUACUUAAAGGAUGGUGGGUAGUAGUUCUUUGAUGGACAGGAUGGCCAGCCACAGGCUGCAAUUGCAUAAUCAAAGGUAGAGAAUUAUGACCAGUCUGUAAUGUGGCAUUUUCGUUACUGUCAGGGUUUAUGGCUCAGACAAGUCCAGGUUUCUAUGAACAUGAGAAAUGUGGUAGUGCUGCGGGCACACCCAAGGUUUCCACCUUUAAAAACUGAUCUUCAAAAUGUGAAAGUUAAUCUCAGCUGCUGGAAGGCUGCCAUGGGAGUUGAAACACUUGGAUGAGUCACAUGACAGAUAUGCAGUCAGCCACCUCCAGCUCACACACAGCUCCAGAAGUUGACGUAAUAUUGAGGGCAGGAUGUGCACUCUAGUAAGCAUGAGCUGUAGGUGGAAAUAUGGAAAGAGAGAUUCAGCUGGGAACAUUCUUCAUUUAAGAGGCAAGGACAAGGAUAGCCAUAAUAACCUCUCAGUGUCCCAGGGGUGUCAUGAAUAUCUGGAAGAACACUCACUCCAAAUAGAGAGAUACAGGGGAAGAUUAGACAUACAGAAGAGGAGUAGGCAAUGUGACCAUGAAGACAGAGAUUAGAAUGAUGUAGCUACAAACGGAAGAUCACCGGCAACCACCAGAAGCUGGGAGAGGCUGCUGACACCUUGAUUUUAGCCUAGUGAAAUGGAAUUGAGAAUUCUGACGUCCAGAACUGUGAGAGAAUAAAUCAUUGUUGUUUUAAGCUACCA